ensembl:snRNA U2 U2 spliceosomal RNA
GCUGCUUCUCGGCCUUUUGACUAAGAGCAAGGGCAGUACAGUAUUUGUUUUUAUCAGCUUAAUGUCUGAUGCGACCUCUGGCCAAGGACAAUCUACUAAGUGGACUUCUGGGGCAGGGCGAUGGAAUAGGAGCUUGCUCCAUCCACUUCAUGCAUCGACCUGGUGUUAGAGUAGACCCAGAAACAGUCCAUAAAUC